rnacentral:rRNA from 1 species
AUGGUAGCUAAAUCGGUUGGGGAGGAUGCCUUGACUCCACUCUUCUUGAUAUUCUUCCUUGCCUUCCCUGGUGCUUUCCUUGUUCUGCUUGUUCUGCUCCGCCUGUUUUUGCGGGGGAGCUCUGCUCCACCUCUUGCCGAGCUGUGGCUGAUUCUGGGAUUCUCCGCCCAGGCUCCUUUUCCUCCCCCAGUUCCUUGUGUCCCUCGAUGCUUGGCUAUCCUAGGUGGCCGCCCUGGCUCCUGGGUCUUGGUUCUUGAGGAGAAAUGCUACUUCCUCCGGCGUCCCCUUCCACGUGACUUCCACAAAUCUUCACCUACUCCCCGAUCUCUCACCCUCACUCUCUCUGCGUGUGAUCCCCUGCUCCCGCACCGCCCAUUGCUUUUGAUUCCCAGCCCGCCACCCCCCGCCAGGCACGAGAAGCAGUUCUUGUCAAAGGAUUCUGUGGCAGCACAUACUAAGAAAUUUUCCUGGCUCCGCCACUGCAUCCAGCUGCUUAUCCUUGCAAUGGCGUUCAAAAUCAUCCUAAGUAUCGUACACAAGGAUGGCGAAAUACUCAACCCUAUAGUUAUUCAAUUCAUCGUCGCCCUCACUACAGCGCUCAUGGUGACCCGAUUUGUGCUGGAUGCUUUGCGGCAUCGGUCAACAGGCAACGCCAUGAGAAUGACUCUGAUCGUUAUGGACGCAGUAACCCAAGCAUUGACCAUAUACAGUCUUGGGAUCAUGCAACGCCCCUCCGAUAAGGACUACUACUACAAGGUGUGGGCUGUGCUGUUGGUCACCCUCCGUUACAGCGUCAAGAUAGGCCGCCCGGCCGGCAUCGCCCUGAAGCAAACCCCGUUGGUAGACCUCAUGUCCUCCUUCUGGUCUGCCAACAUCCUCCGCUCUAAGGCGCCCAAGAUUCUCAAGGUAACUGGUUGGCUGCUUUGGUCAGUCAACUCUUUACGCAUCAUCUAUGGUUUUAUCUCCUCUGAAUUUGCCAACGAUAGCCACAGAGAGGAUUUGAGACUAUUAACAGAGUACAUGCGUCAUGAGCACAAAGCUGGUGGUGGGGGUGAUGGUGACCCUGUCACAAUGAAGGGGUACCGGUACUUGGUGCGGGGCGAAGCCAAGAAACGGAAGAUGAAGAAGAACGAAACCGGCGGACAAGCAAGAGAUACUGGUAUGGUAGAGGAAACUGGGAAUAUCAGGAGGCUCUUGCUGGCGUUGAGAGAUGAGCACAAGGAGAUCCUGACGCUUGAGAAGAUCUGGGAGGAGCCGGCCGAUCCGGCUGACGCCCUUGACGAGGAGCUCAAGGACCUCUGCCUCUCCUUUGCACUCUACAAGCUCCUUCGCAGGCGCUUCUUCAACUUCGGCAUCCAUGAGGCCAAGCUGAAAAGGACAAGACGGCUGGUUCUUGAUGGGAUCCUCAGUGAGCCCUGCAACUCCGAAAGGGCGUUCCGUGUCAGCGAGGCUGAGUUGUCUUUCCUCAAUGAUUUCUUCAAUAGCAGGCAUGCCAUAGUAUUUGCAAAAGGUUUUCCAUUCAUCCGGCUCCUGCUAUCCACCAUUCUGAUAGGGGGGAUUGGAGGCAUGGCGGUUGCUAUCUAUAGCUUUUCCAAGGUUGGCACAAGAGACGAGCUCGGCAAUGUUCAUGGUGGAGUAACUUUUACAUGGUUUCUCCUGUGUUUCCUUUUUGUAAAAGAGACAUGGGAGAUCACAACUUACGUGUUCUCAGACUGGACCAAGAUAAUUUUGUUGUGCCAGUACGUGCAGAAGCCAUGGUGGCUGCAAAGCCCGGUGACCAAGGUUCUUGUGCGGAAGCUCUGCAGGCUCUCUGUGCCCUGGUUGCCAAGAUGGCAUGGAAAGGUUGGCCAAUGCAACCUUCUCUUCCCCUCCUGUUUUGUCUUCCCCACCAAUUUGUUCUUUCCAGAAGGAUGUUCCAGGUACUUUGUACAUCUGUCCCAGGAAGUGAAGCGUGCUGUGAUCAACUGUCUCAGAGACUGCUUGGCUGAGGAUCCCCCGCGGUUGGACAACUACCUUGAGCGAGCAUUUGGCAAAGUCGAGGCAACUGCCGGUUUUCGCGCAAAUUUCACCGGAGCGGUAAAUGGCGUGAAGGAUUCUGUGCACAUUCUGCUGGUUUGGCAUAUUGCUACAUGCUACUGCGAGAUUGAUCUCGCUGAAAACAGAGAGGUCUCAGCCAGUAUGUAUUGGAGUGGGCAAGACUUUGGCCGGCGCAAACCUUGGGAAGGCGAUUCAGAUCUUCUGUGGUCUCAGUACAUGAUUGCUAGGACAUUGUCGCAGUACUGCGCGUAUGCGCUCACACUGGUUCCUCCUCUAGUGCCUGGGAACAGCCUAAUGGCCAGGUCGGUGCUGAUAAAGGUGCGUCAAGAAAAAAGUCGCCUUUUCAACGGAAAAUUUGACUCAUGUGCUCCUUGUUAUCAGUCCACCCAGAUGCUUGGACGGCUCAAGAAAUAUGCAUCAGAGGAGAUAGAAUUGUAUAAUAAAAAAGUGGACGGGGGAAAACAGGACGAGGAAAACCAGGAUGGGAAAAAAGAGGAAAAUCUAGACGACACCAUAUUGAAGAAGGGGGCAGAUCUUGGCAAGAAGCUGGCAGAAGCGUUCAGCGGUGACAAGCCGGAAGAUCUGUGGAGCUUCUUGUCAGAGUUCUGGGCAGGAUUUGUUAUCCACCUGGCUGCAUCUACAAGGGCUUCUCAGCACAAGAUAUUUCUGAGCUCUGGCGGGGAGCUCAUGACACAUCUCUGGGCGUUGCUAACCCAUGCCGGCAUCCUAGGGGAGGUCCAGCACGGCGACCAAGAUUUUGAUACAGCACUAACGCAAGAAGAUGUUUACGAUCAGACUGUGCAGUCUUAG